rnacentral:rRNA from 1 species
UCGAGAAUCUUUAGCAAUGGGCGAAAGCCUGACUAUGCGACGCCGCGUGAGGGAUGAAGGUUUUCGGAUCGUAAACCUCUUUCGAUAGGGAAGAAGUCUCGCAAGAGAUUGACGGUACCUAGAGAAGAAGCCACGGCCAACUCCGUGCCAGCAGCCGCGGUAAUACGGAGGUGGCGAGCGUUACUCGGAAUUACUGGGUGUAAAGGGCAGGUAGGCGGCUAUGUAAGUUGGUGGUGAAAUCCUUUGACUCAAUCAAAGAACUGCCUUCAAAACUGCAUAGCUUGAGGGUAGAAGAGGAGAGCGGAAUUCCCGGUGUAAGGGUGAAAUCUGUAGAUAUCGGGAGGAACACCAGAGGUGAAGACGGCUCUCUGGUCUACAUCUGACGCUGAGCUGCGAAAGC